rnacentral:rRNA from 1 species
ACUCAAAGGAAUUGACGGGGGCCCGCACAAGCGGUGGAGCAUGUGGUUUAAUUCGAUGCAACACGAAGAACCUUACCUACCCUUGACAUCCUGCGAAUUGGGUUGAGAGAUCCGAGUGCCGAAAGGAGCGCAGAGACAGGUGCUGCAUGGCUGUCGUCAGCUCGUGUUGUGAGAUGUUGGGUUAAGUCCCGUAACGAGCGCAACCCUUGUGCUUAGUUGCCAGCGAGUAAAGUUGGGGACUCUAAGGAGACUGCCGGUGAUAAAUCGGAGGAAGGAGGGGACGACGUCAAGUCAUCAUGGCCUUUAUGGGUAGGGCUACACACGUGCUACAAUGGGGUGUACAGAGGGUAGCGAAGCGGCGACGCGGAGCCAAUCCCAGAAAGCACCUCGUAGUCCGGAUUGGAGUCUGCAACUCGACUCCAUGAAGUUGGAAUCGCUAGUAAUCGCGAAUCAGCGAUGUCGCGGUGAAUACGUUCCCGGGCCUUGUACACACCGCCCGU